UCUGUUUUUACAAUGUGGGAUUCGUAUUCUUUCAUGCAACAGUAGUGGCAGUAAAAAAAAUGAAAAAAAAUAUUUCAAAAGAAUGAAGUCAGGGAAGAGAGAGUUUGUUAUAUUGUAUUUGCAUACCAUUUCCUUUCACCAUCUGGUCCUAGUGUCAUGUCCUAACACUUCCUCAUCCCAUUUUCACUCUAUCCUACUCCAGUGGUUCUCAGUCUUGGCUGCAAAUCAGAACUGCAAGUGCAACUUAAAAAAAAAAAAAUUAAUGUAGAGAUUCUACCCCAGAUAUACGUUGAAUCAGAAUCUCUAGGAGUUAGGCCUGAGCAUGUUUUGCUUUGCUUUUUUGUUUUGUUUUAAUCUCUAUGUAUGAUUCAGAUGCAUAAUUAAGUUUGAAAAAAUAAAAACACCCUAUUCCCAAGCCACUCAAAUAAAAGCUGUUCUUUGGA
rnacentral:sRNA from 1 species